GACGAACGCUGGCGGCGUGCCUAACACAUGCAAGUCGAACGGAACUGUUUUGAAAGAUUUCUUCGGAAUGAAUUUGAUUUAGUUUAGUGGCGGACGGGUGAGUAACGCGUGAGUAACCUGCCUUCAAGAGGGGGAUAACAUUCUGAAAAGGAUGCUAAUACCGCAUACGCCCACGGCUCGGCAUCGAGCAGAGGGAAAAGGAGCAAUCCGCUUUGAGAUGGCCUCGCGUCCGAUUAGCUAGUUGGUGAGGUAACGGCCCACCAAGGCGACGAUCGGUAGCCGGACUGAGAGGUUGAACGGCCACAUUGGGACUGAGACACGGCCCAGACUCCUACGGGAGGCAGCAGUGGGGAAUAUUGCACAAUGGGGGAAACCCUGAUGCAGCGACGCCGCGUGGAGGAAGAAGGUCUUCGGAUUGUAAACUCCUGUUGUUGAGGAAGAUAAUGACGGUACUCAACAAGGAAGUGACGGCUAACUACGUGCCAGCAGCCGCGGUAAAACGUAGGUCACAAGCGUUGUCCGGAAUUACUGGGUGUAAAGGGAGCGCAGGCGGGAGAACAAGUUGGAAGUGAAAUCCAUGGGCUCAACCCAUGAACUGCUUUCAAAACUGUUUUUCUUGAGUAGUGCAGAGGUAGGCGGAAUUCCCGGUGUAGCGGUGGAAUGCGUAGAUAUCGGGAGGAACACCAGUGGCGAAGGCGGCCUACUGGGCACCAACUGACGCUGAGGCUCGAAAGUGUGGAUAGCAAACAGGAUUAGAUACCCUGGUAGUCCACACCGUAAACGAUGAUUACUAGGUGUUGGAGGAUUGACCCCUUCAGUGCCGCAGUUAACACAAUAAGUAAUCCACCUGGGGAGUACGACCGCAAGGUUGAAACUCAAAGGAAUUGACGGGGGCCCGCACAAGCAGUGGAGUAUGUGGUUUAAUUCGACGCAACGCGAAGAACCUUACCAAGUCUUGACAUCCCUUGACGAUGCUGGAAACAGUAUUUCUCUUCGGAGCAAGGAGACAGGUGGUGCAUGGUUGUCGUCAGCUCGUGUCGUGAGAUGUUAGGUUAAGUCCCGCAACGAGCGCAACCCUUAUGGUCAGUUACUACGCAAGAGGACUCUGGCCAGACUGCCGUUGACAAAACGGAGGAAGGUGGGGAUGACGUCAAAUCAUCAUGCCCUUUAUGACUUGGGCUACACACGUACUACAAUGGCGUUAAACAAAGAGAAGCAAGACCGCGAGGUGGAGCAAAACUCAGAAACAACGUCCCAGUUCGGACUGCAGGCUGCAACUCGCCUGCACGAAGUCGGAAUUGCUAGUAAUCGUGGAUCAGCAUGCCACGGUGAAUACGUUCCCGGGCCUUGCACA
rnacentral:rRNA from 1 species